UCAAGGGCUGCAACCUCCCCUGUGUCUGCAACGCCAUAUUGUUCACACUGGCUUGGUGAGUAGGGGAAAGCGGGUCGAGCAGCCUGGAGCCAGGCGCCGCAGCCGACGAUCUGAUCAUGUCCCCUUGAUCUACACCACGCCUAGACUGGACAUCGUACAUGUGAAUUUGAGGCUGGUGCUGCUCCGCGUGGGCGGCGUGGUACACCGCCGGCACGUCCCGGCUGAGCCCGUGCUGGCGUGCCGGUCCUCUUUCCGGUCUGCUGCUCGACGCCGCAACUGUUUCUCCGCGUGUCCGGCGUCGUAGGGCACCAGGUCGUAUCUCUCGAGCAUGUGCCAGUCGUCGGUCUUGCCUGCUGAUUUGCCUCCUUCGUUCUCGCGUUUAACAGGUACAAUACCAAAUUACAAUGUCUACUCUGAAUUUCAAGGUUAGCGCACCGGUGCUGCAAGUAUGUUCUCUCUUCAGUUUGAGGAACAUGUGUGUUAUUGUGAUUCCAGUGGCACUUACAAGAUGUCAGUUAAGUAGUGCAAGAUUACUUCACUUGAUUUCUGUAUUUCGAUUUGUGCAUGUAUGUAUUCUCUCUACUGUAUUUAUAUGAGCACAUUGAAAGCUACAGUCUUUCUCCUUUCUGCUAUCUGUUUUUUAUCUGUCUAAAAGUAAAGCAAGCAAAGUUAAUCGUUCUUCCUCUUGAUUUUGCCCUGUUAGAAUUGACUGAAAUGGAAUUUUGUAAGAAGUCCGUUGUAUCCAUGUAGCGGAAUUGUCUUUCAACUCUUAUAUGCUUAAUUAUAUAGCUAGGAGGUUACUGUGAACAGGUGCCAUUACCAGGGUUCAUGCUUCUCCUUACCUUUCAUGCUUCUCCUUACCUCUUGACAAAAAAUUCCUCUACAUGUGAAUAUAAAUAAUACCACAGGUUUCUCAUAUGAGUCUUUUAUGGUGUUCACAGAUGGCUGAAGCUUUUUGCAGCUAUGGAAUAGUGACCGUACAUUCUCCAGUCUUCACUAUGGAUUGUUUCUCUUUACAUGAAGUGUAGAUUUUCCCAGGACAAGCAACAAAAGUGAGUGGAGUGUUGAGGAAUCUCUGGCCAACAAGCAAUCCAGGAGGAUAUAUGAACUAUCAUCCACACAAUCUGGAUCGACAUAGUAGGAAGAUGAAUCGGUGCAUCGAGAGCUACCUUAAGAUGCAGGAUGUGCACACGGUCAUCUUCUUUCUUUUUUGCCCGACCCCAAGCAUUACUUAAGAGUUUCUUCUGUUACAAGGUAUUUCUGUUAAAAGGUAUGUUAGAUCUUCAUUUAUAUUUCAGAAUUUCUUCGGUGAUAUAGUUGGUGCUAAAAUAUGCACAGUUGGUGCGCUAUACUUAUAUAGUUAAAUGUAAGCUAAAUGGGUAAAGGAGUUUUACGUUGUAUGUCAGUGGGCUGAUGGUUGUGACUACAAUAAAAUUAUUAUUGCUACCAAGUAACUUUGGCCAUCAUUUUAAGUAGCUCUACUCGGAGAUUAUCUGAUAUUUGGAGUCAUGUGUAGUAAUACAAAUAUUUCAAUGCAAGAAAAUAUUACCAAACUAGCAUCAGUGAUUAGUCUCAAUAACAGUACACCGUUCUAGCGGGCUAAUUGAAAUGCUGACAAAUGGGAUGGGGCCUAAGUGUUAUUUGAAGGCGAUGUUGACAUAUUGAGUAAACGAUUCAGUGUUUAGAUUCUAAUCUUAUAGGUCUUCUUGAGUAAUUAAAUUGCCACAAAGAGUCGCAAUUUACUCAACAUACUCCGCUACAAUAUUUACAUGAUGUAUUGAAAGGUGUGUUCCUUCUAAACUAAUUUCUAUUUUGGUUAAUAUGAUACAUGUCACUUAAAAUUAGGACAUGUGCAUCUGGGGAUAGCUGAUUUAUUCUCAUGUAAUAUAUUUAAUAGUUCAUUCUUUAUUAAUUAAUGUCCGUUCCCUUUGCUUUGUUUUGCAGUGUUUGUUUUCCACCAUAAUUAUGUGAGUUGAUUGGUCGGCAUUAUACAAAUUGUUUCAUGGUUUGUCCUCUUUGGAAAACACCAAGCUUGCUCCUCAUUAUACUACUGUAUGCCGUGCCAUGUGUUGAAAUUUCUUGGUACAAUAUGGUUUAGGAUAACUUUCUGCUUAUAUUCUGAUGCUUUAUGUACAGCCAACUGUUUCUACUCGAAGUCCUUUGUGGUUGAUGAGAUUCUAGAUGAUGUGCUUUCUGAUUAGGUGUUACUGAGGUGAGUUUGUAUGAAUUUCUUAAUGCAGAUUUUUCAGUCCAAGAAGCAUUAAAAUCUUGCUUCUGUCCCAAGGGAACGUGAUGAAAGGUUGUGCGCCAACUAAUCAUAUAGAUUAAUUCAAGGCACGGCUAAAAGAAGGUUCGGUUAUAUAGAAAAUUCAUCGUUGCUGAUGUGCGGAAUAAAUACAUAGUAGCGGAUCAUCUUUACAGAAUCAAGAUUACUCAGUGCUCAAAAGUUCACGAAAUCAUUCCACAACCUGAUAACCUUCCUCUAUUUUCAUAUAAUGCAACUCCUUUGAGGUCCUGCAGAACAUGCAGUCGACAAUAGUCCUGUCAGGUAUUCACUUCACUGCACAUGUGAUCGAGUGCUUAUAUUAUUUAUGUUGCUCAGUUAUAUAUUAUUGUUUCUUCUGAUUUUUCUACUCUGUAUUUAUUUCUGCUUUGUUAGGUAUUCACUUCAUUGCACAUGCUAUAUUAAACUACACACUACCGUUGCGGUACACUGAUCUUACUCUGUUCUUUCCCCCAGCAAGUAGUAAGAUACCAUCUGCAUCAUCAGACCAACCUAUUCCAACUACUCGAGACAGAGAUGAAGCACUGUCGAUGUCGUUUUUCGUUGUUAUUUUCUUUCAGCUUUCUACUAGAAGCAUUAACUUCCCUGCUCAUUCUUCCGUUGGAAUUCCUCGCAGCAAUAGGCUUAGGAUAGCAGAUACUGAAGUGCACAUACUGCUGGUCAUCCUCGCUGAGCUCUGUUAAAAUUCAUUUCUUAGAAAGUUUGGUGUUUGCUGAACAUAUGCGGUGCUUGGUGAGGUGUAGGUGUGUUGGUUCACAUGUGUUCUUUUCUUUUUUCCUCUUGCACAUUCUGCAUAUGUAUCAUGGGUUUUUGUUGCUCUGUUUUCUAGGAUCAGUUCUCUAUGCAAGACGAAGAAGUUUCCACUUACACCUUUAAUGCGUGCAGCUCUUUUUUUAGUUUUCUAUUUUUUUUCGUGCAACUGUUACUUAUUAAGUUUCUCAUGCUGCUAAAUUUGAAAUGAUCGAUUCCGAAGUGUAAGCACUAUCUCUGGUUUCAGCUGAAGUAUAUUGUAACUACAUGUUUUAUGUUUGUAAAUGUUGUUGAAGUGUUGAAAUUCAUUAUUACACUC